AGGACAUGACCUUACUCUACCAUCUCCCGCAGCGGCCACUAUCCCCAACCGAUUACGGAAAUAGUGAUGCACCCACGUACUACAGUGGAGUAUGCAAAAGGAUGAAAGCUAAGAAUCGACAAAGUAAACCACACACAGGGUGCUUAGAUAUAAAACGUAAAAGGGUGUAUAGAGUAAAAAAGGAGGUCGGGAGGUACCAACUCCCAAUGGAAAAACCUGGAAAUAUGUUUUGAUUCGCCCAAAGUCAACUACCGCUAGCUCUUGCACACUUCGUCCGGUGUUGCUUUGCCCUUCGCAUCCAAAUGUCGUAAGCUCUCCUUGUCCGCCACGACUUGUACCUGAAAAUCACGCACAAAAAAAAAACCGAGGGGGACUGCCUAGCUCGG
rnacentral:lncRNA from 1 species